rnacentral:rRNA from 1 species
UACAGAGGUCUCAAGCGUUGUUCGGAUUCAUUGGGCGUAAAGGGUGCGUAGGUGGCGGGGCAAGUUUGGUGUGAAAUCCCGGGGCUCAACCUCGGAACUGCACUGAAUACUGCCUUGCUAGAGCACUGGAGAGGGAACUGGAAUUUACGGUGUAGCAGUGAAAUGCGUAGAUAUCGUAAGGAAGACCAGUGGCGAAGGCGAGUUCCUGGACAGUUGCUGACACUGAGGUGCGAAAGCGUGGGGAGCAAACAGG